rnacentral:rRNA from 1 species
UACGUAGGGUGCAAGCGUUGUCCGGAAUUAUUGGGCGUAAAGAGCUCGUAGGCGGUCUGUUGCGUCGGCUGUGAAAACCCGGGGCUCAACCCCGGGCCUGCAGCCGAUACGGGCAGACUAGAGUUCGGCAGGGGAGACUGGAAUUCCUGGUGUAGCGGUGAAAUGCGCAGAUAUCGGGAGGAACACCAAUGGCGAAGGCAGCUCGCUGGGACGGUACUGACGCUGAGACGCGAAAGCGUGGGGAGCAAACAGG